UCCGGUGGCGAUGCGGUUAGGGGUAACACCCGUACACAUCCCGAACACGAUGGUUAAGACCUAAUCGGCCGAUAAUACUACGUUGGAGACGACGUGGGAAGGUAGGUGGCUGCCGGGU
rnacentral:rRNA from 2 species